ACGAACGCUGGCGGCGUGCCUAAUACAUGCAAGUAGAACGCUGAAGAGAGGAGCUUGCUCUUCUUGGAUGAGUUGCGAACGGGUGAGUAACGCGUAGGUAACCUGCCUUGUAGCGGGGGAUAACUAUUGGAAACGAUAGCUAAUACCGCAUAACAAUGGAUGACACAUGUCAUUUAUUUGAAAGGGACAAUUGCUCCACUACAAGAUGGACCUGCGUUGUAUUAGCUAGUAGGUGAGGUAAUGGCUCACCUAGGCGACGAUACAUAGCCGACCUGAGAGGGUGAUCGGCCACACUGGGACUGAGACACGGCCCAGACUCCUACGGGAGGCAGCAGUAGGGAAUCUUCGGCAAUGGGGGCAACCCUGACCGAGCAACGCCGCGUGAGUGAAGAAGGUUUUCGGAUCGUAAAGCUCUGUUGUAAGUCAAGAACGGGUGUGAGAGUGGAAAGUUCACACUGUGACGGUAGCUUACCAGAAAGGGACGGCUAACUACGUG
rnacentral:rRNA from 1 species